ACGCGAACGACUUGUAUAAGUGAAAUUAUGCUUAGUAUAUUAAAUUAAAAUUUAACUUAAACUGUUAACCAAUUGGGAAUAAGUUCAUCAAAACGAAUCAUAAAUGAAAAUGAACAAACCACUUUUGAAUAUUAUCUAUACAUGGACUGAGAGAAUCAAAAAACGAAAUAAAAUAAUGAUGCAGGAGUGAUAUUGAUUGAUAUUCAUUGAUAUUAAUUGUAUGUUGUUGGUAUAUUUUACAAUUUUCAAAAGAUUCAUUUUAUAGUGUCAAGCAUAUAUUUUAUGAUUAAGCUUAACAUAAACGUAACUCGCAAAGUAAAUGAUACAAGUUAAUUGAAAUAAAUUAUAUGAGUUUUCAGAAGAAUGAGAAUCUAUAUAAUUUAACCCGAUAAUAUGCAUUUCAUAAAAAAGACUAUUAUGUGAUGUAUUGAAUAAUAACAACUUAAACUGAAGACAAACUAAACCCUGAUGUUGUAAAAUACUUAACUAAAACCUGAGCACUGUUUCAUUUUAAAGCUAUUGUUCAAUGUUAAGAAUUAACUAAAUCAUACAUAAAAGUGAUAAGGACAAUCAUUAAAGUAAUCCUCAAUCCUAACCUGCACAGCGAUCACUACACUAACAACAAAACAACAGUAUCGAUGGACAGAACUGAUUUGAAAUUUAAUACUAGUAAUAUGUAGGUAUAGUAAUAUAGUCAUCGAACAAAAUUAAAUUUAUAAAAUGUUAAGAAACUCAAUUCGUUAAAUUACUUUUCUUGAAAUAAAUUGUUUUGAUGGUG